rnacentral:misc_RNA from 1 species
GGAAUAUUGCACAAUGGGCGAAAGCCUGAUGCAGCAACGCCGCGUGAGCGAUGAAGGCCUUCGGGUCGUAAAGCUCUGUCCUCAAGGAAGAUAAUGACGGUACUUGAGGAGGAAGCCCCGGCUAACUACGUGCCAGCAGCCGCGGUAAUACGUAGGGGGCUAGCGUUAUCCGGAAUUACUGGGCGUAAAGGGUGCGUAGGUGGUUUCUUAAGUCAGAGGUGAAAGGCUACGGCUCAACCGUAGUAAGCCUUUGAAACUGGGAAACUUGAGUGCAGGAGAGGAGAGUGGAAUUCCUAGUGUAGCGGUGAAAUGCGUAGAUAUUAGGAGGAACACCAGUUGCGAAGGCGGCUCUCUGGACUGUAACUGACACUGAGGCACGAAAGCGUGGGGAGCAAACAGGA